CGCGUAGGCGGAGGACCAAGUCCGGGGUGAAAUCUUUCGGCUCAACCGGAAAACUGCCUUGGAUACUGGUCUUCUUGAGGGAGGUAGGGGCAGGUGGAACUUCCGGUGGAGCGGUGAAAUGCGUUGAUAUCGGAAGGAACGCCGGUGGCGAAAGCGGCCUGCUGGAUCUCUUCUGACGCUGAGGCGCGAAAGCUAGGGUAGCGAACG
rnacentral:rRNA from 1 species